GACAGAGGUGCCGAGCGUUAGGCGGAAUCACUGGGCUUAAAGCGUGUGUAGGCGGAUUGGUAAGUACCUUGUGAAACUCCCACGGCUUAACCGUGGAACUGCUUGGUAUACUGCUUAUCUUGGGCCUUAGGGGCUACCGGAACAAACGGUGGAGCGGUGAAAUGCGUAGAUAUCGUUUGGAACGCCAAUGGUGAAAACAGGUAGCUGGGAGUGUGCCGACGCUGAGACACGAAAGCCAGGGGAGCGAACGGGG
rnacentral:rRNA from 1 species